rnacentral:rRNA from 1 species
UACGGAGGAGGCAAGCGUUAUCCGGAAUUAUUGGGCGUAAAGCGUCCGUAGGUGGCUGGGCAAGUCUGCUGUCAAAGGGUGGGGCUUAACCUCAUAAGGGCAGUGGAAACUGGCGAGCUAGAGUGCGGUAGGGGUAGGGGGAAUUCCAAGUGUAGCGGUGAAAUGCGUAGAGAUUGGGAAGAACAUCGGUGGCGAAAGCGCCCAGCUGGGCCUGCACUGACACUGAGGGACGAAAGCUAGGGGAGCGAAAGGG